UACGUAGGGGGCUAGCGUUGUCCGGAAUUAUUGGGCGUAAAGAGCGCGUAGGCGGCUAGAUAAGUCCGGUGUGAAAGUCACAGGCUCAACCUGUGAAUGCCGCUGGAAACUGUCUGGCUAGAGUCCGGAAGGGGCGAGUGGAAUUCCUGGUGUAGCGGUGAAAUGCGCAGAUAUCAGGAGGAACACCAAUGGCGAAGGCAGCUCGCUGGGACGGUACUGACGCUGAGGCGCGAAAGCGUGGGGAGCAAACAGG
rnacentral:rRNA from 1 species